UCUAAAAUGGCAGAAAGAUGCGCAGGAUUUAAGCUCCUGUUAGGAAGUGAAUCUUCUUUUAGGACCA
rnacentral:tRNA from 1 species